rnacentral:rRNA from 1 species
AUCCAUGGCCAUAGGACUCUGAAAGCAUCACAUCUCAUCUGAUCUGCGCAGUUGACCAGAGUGCUGCCCAGUUAGUACCAUGGUGGGGGACCAUGCAGGAAUCCUGGGUGCUGUGGCUU